rnacentral:lncRNA from 1 species
UUUUUUUUUCUAAUUCUGUAAAAAAAAAAAAAGACAUUGGUACUUUGAUAUUAAUAUUGAAUCUGUAAAUUGCUUUGGGAAGUAUGAUAAUUUUAAAUGUUGAGUCUUCCUAAUCAUGAGCAUUGAACGGUUUUCCUUUGUAUCAUCUCUGAUUUCUUUCGGCAGUGUUUUGUAAUUCUUGUUGUGGAAAUAUUUUUCAUUGUUGGUAAGUUAUAUCCCUAAGUAUUUUAUUCUUUUGUGCUAAUUUUAAAUGGGAUUGUAUUCUUAAUCCGGCUUUGAGCUUGGAUAUUGUAUAGAAAUGCUACUAAUUUUUGUACACUGAUUUUGUAUCCUGAAACAUUACGGAAGUUGUUUAUCAGUUCUAGAAGCCUUCUGGCAGGCUCCAUGGGGUGUUCUAGGUAUAGAGUUGUAUGGUCAGUGAAGUGAGACAUCUUUUCUUGGCUGAUUGCUCUGGCUAGAACUUCCAGUACUAUGUCGAACAGUGGUGAGAGUGCGUAUCCUUGUCUCAUUCCUAUUCUCAAGGCGAGUGCUUCUAGCUCUUUCUCAUUCAGUAUGAUGUUCAUAGAUGAUCAUUAUUUUGAGAUAUAUUCUUUUAAUGCCUAAUUUAGUGAGGGUUUUUAACAUGAAUGUGUGUUGAAUUUAUCAGAAGCAUUUUCUGUGUAUCUUGAGAUGAUCACGUGGCUUUUGUUUUUGUUCUGUUUAUAUGGUGAAUCACAUUUAUUGAUAUGUGUAUGUUAAACCAACCUUAGAUCCCAGGCAUACAGCCUACUUUAUUGUGGUGAAUUCACUUUUUCAUGUGCUGCUGGAUUCAGUUUGCCGGUAUUUUGUUGAGUAUUUUGUGUGUCUACAUUCAUCAGGAAUAUUGACCAGAAGAUUUUUCUGUUGUGUCUCUACCAGGUUUUAAUGUCAGAAUGAUGCUGGUUUCAUAGAGUGAGUUAGAGAGGAGUCCCCCUUUCUCAAAUUUUUGGGAAUAAUUUCAGUAGGAUAGGUACUAGCUCUUUUUUGUACAUCUGGUAGAAUUUGGCUUUUAAUACAUUUGGUCAAGGACUUUUGGUUGGUAGGCUUUUUAUUACUGAUUCAAUUUUGGAACUUAUUGGUCUGUUCAGGAUUUUAAUUUCUUCCUGGCUUAAUAUGAGAAGUUGUGUAUUUUCCAGGAAUUUAUCCAUUUCCCUUAGGUUUCCUAGUUUUUGCAUACAGAGGUGCCCAUAAUAGUCUCAGGAUUUUUUGUAUUUCUGUUGGAUAGGUUGUAAUGUCACCUUUGUCAUUUCUAAGUGUCUUUAUCUGGCUCUUUUUUAAAUUAAUCUAGCUCAUAGUCUAUCAAUAUUAUCUAAUCCUUCAAAUCAUCAAUUUUUGAUUUUAACUUAUCUUUUGUAUGGAUUUUAGCAUUUCAAUUACAUUCAGUUCAGCUCUCAUUUUGAUUAUUUUCUGCUAGGUUUGGGGUUUGUUUGCUCUGGUUUUUCUAGUUCCUCUAGGUUUGAUGUUAGGUUGCUCAUUUAAGAUCUUUUUAACUUCUUGAUAUAGACAUUAAGUGCUAUAAACUUUCCUCUUAAAAUUGAUUUAGCUGUGUCCCAGAGAUUCUGGUAUUUUAUGUCUCUGUUUUCAUCAGUUUCAAAAUUUUUUUGAUUUCUGACUUAAUUUCAUUCUUUACCUAUAAGUCAUUCAUCAAGUUUAACUUCCAUGUAAUUGUAUGGCUUUGAUGGGUCUUUUUGAUAUGAUUUCUAUUU